rnacentral:rRNA from 1 species
GACGAACGCUGGCGGCGUGCCUAAUACAUGCAAGUUGAGCGAUGAAGAUUGGUGCUUGCACCAAUUUGAAGAGCAGCGAACGGGUGAGUAACGCGUGGGGAAUCUGCCUUUGAGCGGGGGACAACAUUUGGAAACGAAUGCUAAUACCGCAUAAUAACUUUAAACAUAAGUUUUAAGUUUGAAAGAUGCAAUUGCAUCACUCAAAGAUGAUCCCGCGUUGUAUUAGCUAGUUGGUGAGGUAAAGGCUCACCAAGGCGAUGAUACAUAGCCGACCUGAGAGGGUGAUCGGCCACAUUGGGACUGAGACACGGCCCAAACUCCUACGGGAGGCAGCAGUAGGGAAUCUUCGGCAAUGGACGAAAGUCUGACCGGGCAACGCCGCGUGAGUGAAGAAGGUUUUCGGAUCGUAAAACUCUGUUGGUAGAGAAGAACGUUGGUGAGAGUGGAAAGCUCAUCAAGUGACGGUAACUACCCAGAAAGGGACGGCUAACUACGUG